rnacentral:lncRNA from 1 species
GAAGCAUCAAAGAAAGUCAUUCUUCGAAGAACACUGCUCCUCAGAAUCAAAAGCCCACAAAUCAAAGGCCUGCAGUGGCAAAAAUCGAUGGCAAUCAAUCUCGGCCAAAAAAUGUUCCUCAAAAUGGAAAUUCUGUGAACAAACGGCCCACGGUAGGAAAAAUUGUUUCUCAGAAUCGAAAUCUUAUUAACCAACGGCCCACAACAGGAAACGUCACAGUUGGAAAUCGAUCUCGGAUAAACAGUAUUCCUCAGAAUAGAAAUCCUCCGAAUCAACGACCAGCAGCAGCAAACAUUAAUAAAAAUGGACCUGCGAUAAAGAAUGUUUCUCAGGUUCUCCGAGAUAUCAGAAAUAAUCUAAAUCGUCAACCUGCGGCAGGAAACAUCAACAGAAAUACAUCUCGGACUAAUACUGUUCCUAACCAGCACACUGAUGUUCCAAUAAUGUUGCUUCGUGUAGAAGGUAAACUAGACAAAGUUUUAGAAAAAAUCGACUUCGCAACUGGUGCUACACAACGUUGCAACAAGAAACUCACAGGUGUCAAGUUAGCUGUUGAUGAUAGUUGCGAAGUUCUGAAGGAUGUUCAACUGAAAAUGUCAAGUAUGGUGAUUACCGACACAUGUAACCAUAGUGAUGAAGUGAAACUGCGGUUUCCAGUAAAAUCAACCGAUGAACUUAAACUUCUAGAAGACGAUCUUUUUGAUCCUGAUCUACGCAAAAAAUGCGUAAGUUCUUGAAUUAUUGACCUUUUCUCACCUUCUAAGUUUUUAAAUCGGUAAGAGAGAGAAACCUAUUUUUGGAAAAAAGCUACAGUAAUCUCGAAGAACUCAAAUUUUAUUUAAAAUAUGGAAAACAUAAACAGCACAGAAUUCACUAAUCUUGAAAAUCAGAGAUUGACUGUUGUAAUUUUUAAGACAAGAAAGAAACUUAGUUCCAAAAUAGCGUUCUCUCUAAUAGACCCUCUAAAGUCUGUUACAAAUUCUGUGAAUCCAUCUAUUUUAGAAUAGGACUCUAAUAAUCGAAACGUUAGUCUCUUUUAACUUUUUUCAUUUUUCAGUCUCAAGGCUGCCAGAACCAUAAAUGAACAGAUGUAUAUUAUGCAUCAACAUUUGCGUUACUUUUUGUUCUAGAUUUCAUAUUUCAGCAAGAUGAAUACUAAGUCCCUUGGCGACUCAGUUCGAAAAAUAGCCAAGCAGAUUAUGACCGAUAAACUGGCAUUACAGUAUUCAUGGACUGGACGAAAAGAGGGCAAAUCUGCCUUAGCAGAUUACCCCACGUUCAUCACUGUUUUACAAGGUGAUCAAUUAUUAACGCUCAUUAAAUGUGACAAUGGGACUCUCAAAAGUGUUACGAAAGGACACAGUUCUCGGCUCUCCCAUUUGAUAAUGCCUCUUUCCUUAGAAAUUUCCAAGUGAUGACCUUAUGAAGGUUCUGUGUGUAAAUUUGCUACAAUUUUGAAUAAAAAUUCAGUCAUUUCAACCUCAGUUUAGCAGAAAGCUUGCGACCUUACAGGUCUUCCCAUUUUCAAAAUUUCCUUUUCGAAGCCUUCCCAUUUCCGCAUGCCACUGACCUUGAACGGACGGGCUGAGCAGUCGAGGAGUUUUCACACCUCUGGAGUUAUGCUGUAACUGUAACUUUUAUGUAAUAUUCCAAGCCCCAAAGAAAUUCCUCCUUUCAAAAACUCUGCUUUGGUACUGGAUUUGAAUUUUUCUUGAAUCAUGUAUGAAUAUCUUGUCACAUCGUUUUUUUUUUUUUCCUCUAGAUUUCUUAAUUCAACAGAAGAUUGUAAUUUUCAUUUUUUGUUCUGAAAAUUUCAGAGGCAGUCAGAUUCUCUCAUAAAGUGACAAACGAAGAUAUUAAUGUUCCUUUCAAAUUGUGGCUGGUAAAAGCAAAAGAGCGGUUAACUAACCAAGGUAAGAAUUAAUGCAUUCAGACCCUCUUUCAGGGCGCCCAAAGUCAGAUUUCUCCACUUCCACUUUUAUUUGCUUGAAACCUAUGCUCCUAAAUUUCUCAAAUUCUAUGGAUGCCAUCUUUUUAAAUAUUCUGGGUGGAAUACUUCAAGAAUGAGCCGUCAGUUGGUUCUUUAACAGAUAAAUACAAUUGACCGAGUAUCUCAGAAGAACUGCUGAUCCCUCAGGUGGAGGGAUGUAGAGGCUAGGAGGCAGGGACCGAGCCUACUUGCGUGCUGCUGAACACCAAUUAAGCAUCCCUGAAUCCCUGUCUACACGGGGUACAUGCCGUUUUGGCCACUAACUUCAUCCGCUGCUUCUAACUUCUGAAGACUGUGGUCUUUUGCUGUUUGUUCCAAAACUAGGCAGGGACAGUAGUUGUCUAAAUUAGAUUUUCUCCCUGCACGAAGCAUUAUAAAAGUGUGUUCUCAUGUUCUAUUGACAGAUGAAGGUAUUUGAAACCUGGCUCUAAAAUCUGCUCUACAACUAGCAGUUUUUUAACUUUAGAUAGAAGUAUCAUGGUUUGUUGUGCCUUGAAAAGUCCUUGAACAUACUUGAUAUUUUUUUCGCAUUUUCAAGUCCUUGAAUUUAAUUCUGAGAUUUAGCCCCGUUGUACUGGAAAGUUCAUGAAUUUUACAUCAUCCUGUGACUUCCUGUCUUUUUGUAUCAUUUUGGCAUUCAAUUAUGGUGUUGGAAAAU